UACGGAGGGAGCUAGCGUUGUUCGGAAUUACUGGGCGUAAAGCGUACGUAGGCGGCUUUGCAAGUUAGAGGUGAAAGCCUGGAGCUCAACUCCAGAACUGCCUUUAAAACUGCAUCGCUUGAAUCCAGGAGAGGUGAGUGGAAUUCCGAGUGUAGAGGUGAAAUUCGUAGAUAUUCGGAAGAACACCAGUGGCGAAGGCGGCUCACUGGACUGGUAUUGACGCUGAGGUACGAAAGCGUGGGGAGCAAACAGG
rnacentral:rRNA from 1 species